CGGACCAAGGAGUUUAUCGUGUACGCAAGUCAUUGGGUGUAUAAAACCCAAAGGCGAAAUGAAAGUAAAGAGUAGAUAUUUGUUUUAAAAUAUUAUUAUUUUUUAACAAUCUCUCUUAAGGGAAGAUGGAAAUAUCAUAUAUAUUUAUAUAUAUGAAUAUUUCCCGCACUCCCAGGGCGCUUGUAUCUCGCUUUGCGAGUUGAUGCGCACCUAGAGCGUACACGAUGAUACCCGAAAGAUGGUGAACUAUGCCUGGCCAGGACGAAGCCAGGGGAAACCCUGGUGGAGGUCCGCAGCGAUUCUGACGUGCAAAUCGAUCGUCGGAGCUGGGUAUAGGGGCGAAAGACCAAUCGAACCAUCUAGUAGCUGGUUCCCUCUGAAGUUUCCCUCAGGAUAGCUUGCACUCGGUUGAGAAGAGUCUCAUCCGGUAGAGCGAAUGAUUAGAGGCAUUGGGGUCGAAACGACCUCAACCUAUUCUCAAACUCCAAAUAGAUGAGAUCCCCGGCUUUCUUAAAAGUGAAGCCGCGGGAAUAUGAUCAGAGUGCCAAGUGGGCCAAUUUUGGUAAGCA
rnacentral:rRNA from 1 species